UACGUAGGGGGCAAGCGUUGUUCGGAAUUACUGGGCGUAAAGGGCUCGUAGGCGGCCAAUUAAGUCAGACGUGAAAUCCCCAGGCUCAACCUGGGAACUGCGUCUGAUACUGGAUGGCUUGAAUCCGGGAGAGGGAUGCAGAAUUCCAGGUGUAGCGGUGAAAUGCGUAGAUAUCUGGAGGAAUACCGGUGGCGAAGGCGGCAUCCUGGACCGGCAUUGACGCUGAGGAGCGAAAGCUAGGGGAGCAAACGGG
rnacentral:rRNA from 1 species